UUGGGGUUGCGGACAUAUCAUAACGAAGAGGUAUCGUAAUUGAAGAGGUUUGGAAAGACCCACCACAGAAGGUAAUAGUCCUGUAUGUUAAACGAGAAGACUUUAGAUAUGAUCCAGAGUACCACGGGACACGUGAAACCCUGUGGGAAGCAGGGGGGACCACCCUCCAAGGCUAAAUACUACCUAGUGACCGAUAGCGUAUAGGACCGGGAGGGAAAGGGGAAAAGAACCCCGGGAGGGGAGGGAAAUAGAAACUGAAACCCUGCACUUACAAGCUGUGGAAGCACAUUUCUUGUGUGACCGCGUACUGUUUGUAGAACGGGCAAACGAGUUACGUUAAGUAGCAAGGUUAAGCACUUAAGGUGCGGAGCCGUAGCGAAAGCGAGUUGUAACUGAGCGUUCAGUUACUUGACGUAGACCCGAAACCGGGCGACCUACCCAUGAGCAGGAUGAAGCGAAAGUAAAAUUUCGUGGAGGUCCGAACCCACGAGCG
rnacentral:rRNA from 1 species